rnacentral:rRNA from 1 species
UUGACGGAGAGUUUGAUCCUGGCUCAGGACGAACGCUGGCGGCGUGCCUAACACAUGCAAGUCGAACGAGGUCGCCUUCGGGCAAUGACCUAGUGGCGAACGGGUGCGUAACACGUGAGGAACCUGCCCCGAAGACUGGGACAACCACGGGAAACUGUGGCUAAUACCAGAUGCCCUCCGCUGAUCGCAUGAUCGGCAGAGGAAAUGCUCCGGCGCUUCGGGAGGGCCUCGCGGCCUAUCAGCUAGUUGGUGAGGUAACGGCUCACCAAGGCAUCGACGGGUAGCUGGUCUGAGAGGACGAUCAGCCACACUGGGACUGAGACACGGCCCAGACUCCUGCGGGAGGCAGCAGUGGGGAAUCUUGCGCAAUGGGCGAAAGCCUGACGCAGCAACGCCGCGUGGGGGAUGAAGGCUCUCGGGUUGUAAACCCCUUUCAGCAGGGACGAAAUUGACGGUACCUGCAGAAGAAGCCCCGGCCAACUACGUGCCAGCAGCCGCGGUAACACGUAGGGGGCGAGCGUUGUCCGGAAUUAUUGGGCGUAAAGAGCUCGUAGGCGGUUUAGUAAGUCAGAUGUGAAAGGUUGGGGCUCAACCCUAAGACUGCAUCCGAUACUGCUAUGACUAGAGUCCGGUAGAGGAGUGUGGAAUUCCUGGUGUAGCGGUGAAAUGCGCAGAUAUCAGGAGGAACACCGACGGCGAAGGCAGCACUCUGGGCCGGUACUGACGCUCAGGAGCGAAAGCGUGGGUAGCAAACAGGAUUAGAUACCCUGGUAGUCCACGCCGUAAACGUUGGGCACUAGGU